GCUAUACAUGCAGUCGAGCGAACAGAUGAAGUGCUUGCACUUCUGACGUUAGCGGCGAACGGGUGAGUAACACGUAAGGAAUCUACCUAUAAGCGGGGGAUAACAUUCGGAAACGGGUGCUAAUACCGCAUAAUAUCUUCUUCCGCAUGGAAGAAGAUUGAAAGACGGCUCUGCUGUCACUUAUAGAUGACCUUGCGGUGCAUUAGUUAGUUGGUGGGGUAACGGCCUACCAAGACGAUGAUGCAUAGCCGACCUGAGAGGGUGAUCGGCCACAUUGGGACUGAGACACGGCCCAAACUCCUACGGGAGGCAGCAGUAGGGAAUCUUCCGCAAUGGGCGAAAGCCUGACGGAGCAAUGCCGCGUGAGUGAAGAAGGCCUUCGGGUCGUAAAACUCUGUUAUAAGAGAAGAACAAAUUGUAGAGUAACUGCUACAGUCUUGACGGUAUCUUAUCAGAAAGCCACGGCUAACUACGUGCCAGCAGCCGCGGUAAUACGUAGGUGGCAAGCGUUGUCCGGAUUUAUUGGGCGUAAAGGGAGCGCAGGUGGUUUCUUAAGUCUGAUGUGAAAGCCCACGGCUUAACCGUGGAGGGUCAUUGGAAACUGGGAAACUUGAGUACAGAAGAGGAAUGUGGAACUCCAUGUGUAGCGGUGGAAUGCGUAGAUAUAUGGAAGAACACCAGUGGCGAAGGCGACAUUCUGGUCUGUUACUGACACUGAGGCUCGAAAGCGUGGGGAGCAAACAGGAUUAGAUACCCUGGUAGUCCACGCCGUAAACGAUGAGUGCUAGGUGUUGGA
rnacentral:rRNA from 1 species